UACGUAGGGUCCGAGCGUUGUCCGGAAUUAUUGGGCGUAAAGGGCUCGUAGGCGGUUUGUCGCGUCGGGAGUGAAAACACCGGGCUUAACUCGGUGCUUGCUUUCGAUACGGGCAGACUAGAGGUAUGCAGGGGGAGAACGGAAUUCCUGGUGUAGCGGUGAAAUGCGCAGAUAUCAGGAGGAACACCGGUGGCGAAGGCGGUUCUCUGGGCAUUACCUGACGCUGAGGAGCGAAAGUGUGGGGAGCGAACAGG
rnacentral:rRNA from 1 species